rnacentral:rRNA from 1 species
AUUGAACGCUGGCGGCAGGCCUAACACAUGCAAGUCGAGCGGAUGAAGGGAGCUUGCUCCUGGAUUCAGCGGCGGACGGGUGAGUAAUGCCUAGGAAUCUGCCUGGUAGUGGGGGAUAACGUCCGGAAACGGGCGCUAAUACCGCAUACGUCCUGAUGUAGAAAGUGGGGGAGCUUCGGACCGCACGCUAUCAGAUGAGCCUAGGUCGGAUUAGCUAGUUGGUGGGGUAAAGGCCUAACAAGGCGACGAUCCGUAACUGGUCUGAGGGGAUGAUCAGUCACACUGGCACUGAGACACGGUCCAGACUCCUACGGGAGGACGCAGUGCGGAAUCUUGCACAAUGGGCGAAAGCCUGAUACAGCACUGCCGCGGGUGUGCAGAAGGUCUUCGGACUGUAAAGCACUUUAAGUUGGGAGGAAGGGAAGCACGUUAAUACCUUGCUGUUUUGACGUUACCAACAGAAUAAGCACCGGCUAACUUCGUG